CAGGCGUGAGGCAACAAAUGGUCCAAGUAACAACUGAGAACAAAAUAAUCUGUAAUCUGAUCUAAUUCUGGCCAAACACCCUGAGGGGACAAUAAAAGCCCCUUUGCUGCUUGUAGUUGAAGCCAUUUGUGACGAUCCAGACCCAAAUGAGGUCAGGAGGGUGGACGGACACUAAAGGGGCUUCACAGCUUCACAGCUUUGUAAAAAUCCUCAGAUUAGACUCAACUAUUGCCUGAAGGACAAUCAAAAAAUGUUCCAAAAAAAGAAAAAAAAUGAUGUCGACUUCUUGAAAACAGAGUUUCACCAAACUCUGAGCUCUUGAUAGUUCUUCUCGGUUCAACUGGACUGGUUUAGCUCUUUUGAAAACAUUUCGUCUAUCAUCUAAGAGACUUCUUCAAGUGGAAGAAGCUGGACUUAUAAAACCUGAUGAUGACGAGGAUGAGGAUGAGGAUGAGAGACGAAAUGUUUUCAAAAGAGCUAAACCGGUCCAGAUGAACCAAGAAGAACCACUAAUAAGAAUGAUGACCUGGACACAAACACCAACCUCUGAGCAUUUUUAACCAACAUCAAAUGGUGCCUUGUUAUCGUUGGUUAACAUGAAAAAUUCACUGGAAAAGCAUGACUCUGCAAUGAUGAAGUGUUUCCCAAAUAAUUAACCACAGUUCUCGGGACUCUCACGGUCAAUUUCGGGCAACGACAAUGUGCGACGCAGAUGUGAGUCCGGUUUAAAGUUGCGAGCACAUAUUCUGUGAAGGACUUCUUACGAUUUGUCUUUUUGCACAAACAAGAAUCGAGCUGGAAUGUACAGCUUUGAUUUUAACACCUCGUUCUGGUGUCACGAUCGAAUCCCGAAGACAGGACUGGAGUUUUUUCCCAUGUGACUGUUGUUAUUUGCUUCAUUUGUACUCGAGCUUUCAUUUCCUGUCAAGUGGGAUUUGUCUUGUAGUCGUUUGUCAUGGUUUUAUUGUGUGUAAAAGUCUGUUUGUAAGCCGAUGUUUGUUUUUAGUUGAAUCUCAUGUGGUUCCUCUCAGUAUUCGUGCAUAUUCAUUGAAGGAAUUCCUGCAAACCAGACACAGAGUAGGGUGAAAUAAAGAGAUCGAACCAUUUCUCUGGAACUGCACAAAGGUUAGAGAAGUGCCAGGAAAGAAGGGGUUGGAGACGUAAAGAGGACGAACUGAGGGGAUUUUUUUUUUUCCCCUUCUUCUAAUGAGUGCAUGACGAGGAAGAUUUGGGAAAACCGUGGGUAUGAUUCAGAGGAGGUGGGUGAGAUGAGCUUCAGUCUGGUUGUAAUUAUGGAGGAAAAGCCUGGGAGCCACAGCGCCGGGUUUUGGUGGACGCAGCCUCGCAUUCCUGCGGCGGCGAGCGUCGAGUCGGGUCGGAUCGGGGUGAACGCCUGUGAUGUCUGCAGCAUCUCGGAGGAGAUUUUGUUUACGCUCCGAGGAAAAAAUUCUGAGCCAAACCAUGAAGGUCAGAGGUCAAAGGCAGCUCAUCUUCGAGCAGGGGAUGGAAAACCUUCUCCGAUGGUUCAAGGUGAAUUUAGAUGCAAAACUGCCAAAGGAUCAAAAGUGCAAG